rnacentral:rRNA from 1 species
GACGAACGCUGGCGGCGUGCUUAACACAUGCCAGUCGAACGGAAAGGCCCUGCUUUUGUGGGGUGCUCGAGUGGCGAACGGGUGAGUAACACGUGAGUAACCUGCCCUUGACUUUGGCAUAACUUCAGGAAACUGGGGCUAAUACCGGAUAGGAGCUCCUGCUGCAUGGUGGGGGUUGGAAAGUUUCGGCGGUUGGGGAUGGACUCGCGGCUUAUCAGCUUGUUGGUGGGGUAGUGGCUUACCAAGGCUUUGACGGGUAGCCGGCCUGAGAGGGUGACCGGCCACAUUGGGACUGAGAUACGGCCCAGACUCCUACGGGAGGCAGCAGUGGGGAAUAUUGCACAAUGGGCGGAAGCCUGAUGCAGCAACGCCGCGUGCGGGAUGACGGCCUUCGGGUUGUAAACCGCUUUCGCCUGUGACGAAGCGUGAGUGACGGUAAUGGGUAAAGAAGCACCGGCUAACUACGUG